rnacentral:rRNA from 1 species
AAGUCUGGUGCCAGCAGCCGCGGUAAUUCCAGCUCCAAUAGCGUAUAUUAAAAUUGUUGCGUCUAAAAAGCUCGUAGUUUGAAAACUUGCCUUGGCUUACAAUAGGGCUUUUUAAAGUCCGCCGUUUGUUGAGUGCAAAUAUCGAUGACUGUUUUUGCCGACUUAAUUGUUUGGCUUAUAAGAGUUAUCACAUAUCACUUUGAUUAAAUUAGAGUGCUUAAAGCAAGUGUGUUACUUGAAUAUAAAUGCAUGGAAUGAUGGAAUAUGUUGUUGUUCUAUUUGUUGGUUUCUGAACGAUGAAAUGAUUGAAAGGAACUGUUGGGGGCAUUCGUAUUGUUGUGAGAGAGGUGAAAUUCUUAGACCACAGCAAGACGAACUACUGCGAAAGCAUUUGCCAAGAAUGUUUUCAUUGAUCAAGAACGAAAGUUAGAGGUUCGAAGGCGAUCAGAUACCGCCCUAGUUCUAACCAUAAA